rnacentral:rRNA from 1 species
UGGGGAAUUUUAGACAAUGGGGGCAACCCUGAUCCAGCCAUGCCGCGUGAGUGAAGAAGGCCUUCGGGUUGUAAAGCUCUUUCGGCCGGGAAGAAAUCGCAUGGGUUAAUACCCUGUGUGGAUGACGGUACCGGAAUAAGAAGCACCGGCUAACUACGUGCCAGCAGCCGCGGUAAUACGUAGGGUGCGAGCGUUAAUCGGAAUUACUGGGCGUAAAGCGUGCGCAGGCGGUUUAGUAAGACAGGCGUGAAAUCCCCGGGCUCAACCUGGGAACUGCGCUUGUGACUGCUAAGCUAGAGUACGGCAGAGGGGGGUGGAAUUCCACGUGUAGCAGUGAAAUGCGUAGAGAUGUGGAGGAACACCGAUGGCGAAGGCAGCCCCCUGGGCCGAUACUGACGCUCAUGCACGAAAGCGUGGGUAGCAAACA